GUAUCAUUAAAAACGAUUUGUAAUGGUUACAAAUUAAAUUAUUGUGAGAUUAACAGUUAGAGGAAAAGUCUGGUGCCAGCACCCGCGGUAAUUCCAGCUCUGAGAGUGUAUUAUAACAUUGUUGUAGUUAAAACGCUCGUAUUUAAUCUAUUUUCCAUUGGAUUAAAUGACGAUACAUAUACACCUCUGAGCGAUGAAAGUAUCUGAUCAUUGAUUAGAGGUACUGAUAUUUUUAUAGAAGUAAGUAUGUGUGUCCUUGGUCGUACUUAUAUCAUUCACUUUUGUGUUUGACUUAAUUGGUGUCAUUUGGUCUUUUGGUUACAAAUCUCUACAUCUAAUGUGGAACGACCAUGAAUAAAUCAAAGUGCUCAACACAGGCAUUGGUAGUACGCCUGAAUGUUUUAGCGUGGUAUUGAAUUUUAAUUCUUCUUUUGAGGAAUGUAAACAAUGAGAUUAGGAAUAGGGUUCGAGAAUUGCUAAGUCAGAGGUGAAAUUCAGAAACCUUAGCAGGACUAACGGAUGCGAAAGCUGUUACUUUACCCAUAACCAGUCUAUCAAUGAGGAACGAAAGUUAGGGGAUCGAAAAUGAUUAGAUACCAUUGUAGUCCUAACCGUAAACUAUGCUGACAGAAGAUCGAGAAUAAACCUUUUCUCCAGAUAUCCUCGGAAUUCAAAGGAAACUGAAAGUUUUUGAGUUCUAGGGGGAGUAUAGUCGCAAGGCUCAAACUUAAAAGAAUUGACGGAAGAGCACCACCAGGAGUGGAAUUUGCGGCUUAAUUCGACACAACACGGGAAAACUCACCAGGUCCGGACGAUUGUAGGAUUGACAGGUUAAAGUCCUUUCUUGAUUAUUUGUAUGGUGGUGCAUGGCCGUUUUUAGUUCGUGGAGUGGUUUGUCAGGUUGAUUCCGAUAACGAACGAGACCUUAACUUACUAACUAGUUAUUGGUCAUAUUAUGUGAUUAGCUUUUCGAAGCCAAUAAAAAUGAAUUUCGAUUUUACUUCUUAGAAGGACAAUGCUGCGUCUUUUUAAACAAAAUUAGCUCAGGGAGGUUGAAGGCAACAACAGGUCUGUAAUGCCCUUAAAUGUUCUGGGCUGCACGCGUAUUACAAUGUUAAUUACGACAAGUUUAUUAUGAGUAGGAUCUCGAUUUUACUCAUACCUUCUCUAUAAAGGAGUGGGAAAUCUUUCAAUAGUUAACGUGACAGGGAUAGACCAUUGAAACUUGGUCUUGAACGAGGAAUUCCUAGUAGGUUCAAUUCAUUAACUUGAACCGAUUACGUCCCUGCUCUUUGUACACACCGCCCGUCGCUCCUACCGAUGGAAUGAUAAGGUGAAUCUGAAGGACCAUUAGGGCUAUUUAUAGCUCCAUGGAAAUUC
rnacentral:rRNA from 1 species